CAACGAACGAAAGGAGGUGAUCCAGUGUCUCAUUGUCAUCAGCCGCUCUCCCCGGCUCACCGGACCUGGACCGUCGCCUCCGGCCUGAUCGACUGAUCUCGCCAGAGCAACUCAGCCACGUUCGGCCGGACACGAGUGGUUCGGCAAUGGAAGGGCCGCCCGAGCGAUCGGGCGGCCCU
rnacentral:sRNA from 1 species